ensembl:lincRNA
GAUUCAGAGACACCCAAGACUUUCAUGGUCCUGAAAGACUUUCAUGGUCCUAAGGCCCAAGAAGGGCCUUAGGUGCUAAGCCAGUGGUUGCUAUAGCACAGGAUGGCAUCUGCUGCCUACAGGGCUGUGAUGUAGCCAGCCUGAUGUGAACAGUUCAUGAAGCAGCCUUACAGCCUGAGGCUCUUCACCCGGCAUCACAGCUUGUCUCUGCAAAGUUCCUCCUGCACUGUGAAAAUGCACGCAAUCCUCCCCCACCCCUACUAGGACAUUUCCUUGGAGGAUUCUAAGCACUCUGUGAUGUCGAACACAAUGCAGCUCCUGCGACCAGAAGGAAAGGCUACUGUUGGUUUCAAACGUGAGAUAUCACUGGAGCACUGAAAGGGAGCUACAGAGUUCAUAAGAACACAUUUGAUCUUUCUUACAAAGGAUUUACACUGUACUAAGGGCUACAGCCUUAGUCCUGUAGUUCCAGUCUAAAAGAAGGAGACGAGAGGCAAGUCUGCAUGAGCUGUCCUCAUUUAGGGGAAAAUACACUGUAGGCAGUUGGAACAAGCACAUGAGGUGAAAGGUCAAGACUGGACAUAAAAGACCCAAGUGAAGAAAACACCUGCCUCCCAACUCCACUGUCUGCAGAGCAACUGAGCACACUGCCAUGGAAUGUGUCUUCCCUGUGUCUAGGAGUACAGUCUCCAGAUCAACAAGAAGGGGGAAAAAAUGGCUUCCCACUUCCCAUGGAACUCGAACAUGUGAAAAUAAGGAAGGGCUCACUGCCGUGAGUGGAAGUCACAUGAAGAUCCUGCAGAAAACCAC